rnacentral:lncRNA from 1 species
CAACAAGUUAAGCUGAAGACCGAAGCAAGAGCUGGUUCAGGUGGCAGCCACAGCAGCCUCAGGGACCUCAGCAACUAUGGCCUCCUGCCCAGACUCUGAUAAUAGCUGGGUGCUUGCUGGCUCCGAGAGCCUGCCAGUGGAGACACUGGGCCCGGCAUCCAGGAUGGACCCAGAAUCUGAGAGAGCCCUGCAGGCCCCUCACAGCCCCUCCAAGGCAGAUGGGAAAGAAUUAGCUGGGACCAUGGAUGGAGAAGGGACACUCUUCCAGACUGAAAGCCCUCAGUCUGGCAGCAUUCUAACAGAGGAGACUGAGGUCAAGGUGAGGAGAUUCGCUGUGGGAAGGAAGGGAGGCGGGGAGGGCUAGCAGCUGCUCACUGCUGCAUCUGCAUUAGGGCACCCUGGAAGGUGAUGUUUGUGGUGUGGAGCCUCCUGGCCCAGGAGACACAGUAGUCCAGGGAGACCUGCAGGAGACCACUGUGGUGACAGGCCUGGGACCAGACACACAGGACCUGGAAGGCCAGAGCCCUCCACAGAGCCUGCCUUCAACCCCCAAAGCAGGUGAGAGUCUUCCUUGCCUCUCCUGUCACUCUCCUUCUAGAAGGUAUGGGAGAGGGAUCAGC